UACGAGGGGGGUGAGCGUUGUUCGGAAUUAUUGGGCUAAAGGGUGCGUAGGCGGUUUGGUAAGUCUGAUGUGAAAUCUAUGGGCUCAACUCAUAGUCUGCAUCGGAAACUGCCGGGCUUGAGUGUGGGAGAGGUGAGUGGAAUUCCUGGUGUAGCGGUGAAAUGCGUAGAUAUCAGGAGGAACACCUGUGGCGAAAGCGGCUCACUGGACCAUAACUGACGCUGAUGCACGAAAGCUAGGGGAGCAAACAGG
rnacentral:rRNA from 1 species